GAAUAUUUUGUAGAUCAAUAAUCAUUAUAUACGUUGUUUCAAAUAAAAACUUUGAUAAUAUCUUUAGUGUAUUUUUUCAUAAAAAUGUACUCUAUUUUUUGGGAUGCGCAUCAUACGCGAGCAAAUACAGUAGACUACUUACAAUAGACAAUGUAUUUUUUAAAUUUAUUCACUUACAAACUAACUAGAGCUAAAUUCACAAUAGUUGGAUUGGAGAAAUUUAAUAACAGACAAGACUUUAUAUGAUUUUUCAACUGUGACU